rnacentral:lncRNA from 1 species
GUUUGUUUUUUGGUUGAAUAGAAAAAGUUAAAUAUUUUGGCUUUUUCUAUUCAGCUAAAAGUAACAUGUUAACAUCAUCCAAUAUGGAUAAAAUGAACUUGUUAUCAAUAAGUUUAUUUUAAUUAUAUUAGAUGAUGUCAUCGGGUUACUUUUAGCUGAAUAAAGAAAACCAAAUAUUUUGACUUUUUCUAUUAAGCCAAAAAACAAACACCACAUAAUAAAUGAAGAGAUUUCUACUCUAAUGAUUAUCCUCAUAAGACAUUCUUGAAUAUAUUUGAUUAAACUCAUAUGUCAAGCCAAACUCUGAACAUCCUAUUAAAAUGAUAUUAUGAACAUCCCAUCAAAUGAUAUUAUAAACAUCCUAUCAAAUGAUGUUAUGAAUCCUUUAUUUACUAUUGGAUUUUAUUUAACGAAUUUUCACGGUGUCAUAUUUCACUUUUGAAAGCAAUAUUUCAUAAUUUAAGACAUGAUUAAAAAUUUACUCAAACAAUAUACAUAAAUUUAGCAAAUAACAAAGAUUCCUUUAUCAUAUGUAUUUUAUAAUUUAUGAAAUGUCAAUUCACGCAAUACAAGAAGUCGAAUACUUAUAAAUUAUAACUUUCAUCAUUGUGCAAGACCACACGCUUAACAAACCAUUUUAUUAGGGAUAUAAUAAUUAACAGAACAAAAUGCGUAUGAAAAUCUAGCAUGUGUUUGAAUAAAUAAACUCUAUCAAAUGAAGGAAAUGAUUGAAGGAAACAUCAUUGACAAUUUCUGAAACACCAUUAAUAAUUUCUCCUUCAAGGGCUGCAUCUGUACUUCACCUCAAAUGGAGCAGAACAUAAAGUAAAUCUAGUGUACCUAAAAAAAAAUGAUAAGAACAAAAGAAAAUGAUACCAUUUAAAUAUAAAUAACGUAAAAAUUAGCAAUAGUAUUUAUAGAAUAUAUUAUGAAGAACCAAAACAUAUUCUUACUUCUGGAUAAAAAGAAUGGAUUCCACCUCCAUCCUAUUAAUAUUUAAUAUUUUUUAAAAUUAAAAUUUCUUUAAUCAUGUUUUUCAAUUCCUUUAUAUUUGAUUUAUUAAUUUGUAUAUUAUUUGAAAAAAAAUUUCUUUUAUUAAUUUAAGAAAUUUAUUAUUACAUGUUAAUAGUAAACAUACAAAAUAUUUUUCUUUGUUUGAUAUUCAUCAAAGUUAUACUUAUCAUAAAUUUAUAUUAUAUCAUUUGCAUACUAUACUAAUUUGAAUUAGCAAAGGUUUUUUUCAUUAUAAAAGGUGUAUUAUUUAGUUAAAUUAGAUGAAAAUAAAGGAAGUUAAUUAUUAUGAAUGUAAAAGGAUAGAAUAUUUACAGUUUUUGUUAUCUAUUAAAAAUAAAUCCUAUAAUUUUUUUUAAUGAGGGUGAUUUGACAGUAUUUUGAAAUAAUGAUAGUUAAUCUCUUAUAUGAAAUAUAUUUAAAAUUAAAUUUUAAAUUAAUUUAAUAAUUUGUUAUUAAAAAUUAAUAUAAUCUUCAUACUUUUUUCUUUUUUUUUAUAGAAUAUUUCUAUCAAUAAUUCAAAAAAAAAAAAAAACAGUGUAAGAAGAAAUAAAAAGUAUGGGAAAGAAAUAUAAAAAGUAUGAGAAAAAAACUAACCUUCUUAUAAAAGAGUACUACAUCUUCCGUAGGUCUUCCAUACUACAAUCACUGAUAUGUAGUUCUUGAAGGUUUUGAAUAUUCAUGAGUGUCAUAAGAGAGGAAAUAUGUUUCAUCCUAUCAUUCCCGUCUUCCAUCCAUCUCAGCCUAGGCAACUUCUUCAAUUUCAAGGUUUCUAACUUUGAGAAGAUCUCAACAUUUCCAUCAUUUUCUUGAAGAAUAUUCACAUGCUCUAGGAGUUCACAAUCUUGCACAUCUAUCUCUUUUAAAUUCUGGAAGUUGUGUAUCAAAUGAGUUGGGACAAGAUUGAGUAGACAUGGACAUUCAUACACCCUUAAGAUCUGUAGAUUGGAGAAGGAUUCAAAUGGAAGUUGAUGAUGCCAUAUAUCCUUCAACUUGGGCAGAUAUUUGAGUGUCAACUCCUCUAACUUAGGGAAUGAAACCUAUAACAUGAUACAUGACAUCAUCAAUUGGAAAGUUAUAAUAAAUAUAAAUAUAUUUCUUAAAUAUAAUUCAUCAACUUGAGAUUAUUCGCAUGUUUACUUUAAUUAUAUUUAUAGAAAGAAAUGAAAGGAUAAGGGAUUCUCAUGCUGAUGCCACAAAUUAUUUUUACUCAUAUAAAUAAUUUCUUAUUUUAAAUCAUAAACAUUCUUUUAUUUUUCUCUCAUUAAUAAAUUCUUUUGAAUGUCUUUUUUAAAUUUCCUUUUUCUUUUAAAAAUUUUGAUGAUUUCACUCUUAAAUUUAUUUUGUAUUUAUUCCUAUUAACUUGACUUUUUUUUCUUAUUUAAAGUAAAAUUAUACUUAUAGUUUUUCCUUAUUUAAAUACUCAUUCCUAUUAAUAUUUAAUGUGUUUAAAAUUAAAAUUUCUUUUAACCUUAUUAGUUUUGCAACUCCUUCAUGUUUUAUAUAUUAUUUGUUAUUUUUUUAUAUUAUUUUAAAUGAAAUGUUCAAAUAAUUUUAACAUGGUGGAGUUUGGAAAGUGCAUGUGGGCCCACCCUAGUUUUUCUUUUGACUUAUAUCAAUAUAAAGUGGUGCAAAAAAAAAAAAAAACAAAUGAAAUCAGCUAAUAAGCUUUAACAUACCUUAUGACUGAAAAAUGAGUCUUCUGACCUUGCAUUUGUACUCAAAGAUGUGGAAGAUGUUGUUUCUAACUCGGAACUGAAGUUGAUGAGCUGUGGUAGAUCAUAGAGAAUCAAGGAUCGCAAUUUUGGGAAUAGUUGCAAAUUGGUCCCACCAUGUCCAUCUUCUUGUAUUUCUGAUUCCCUUUUAUAUGCGAUUAUUUGUUGCAUGGCAACACAAUAUUCUAUUGUCAUUUCUUCAAGUUGGGGAAGGCCUCUAGCCGUGGAAAGCAGAAAGAGAAAUUUCAAUUUAGGACAUGAAUACACAUUUAGAGUUUUUAAGUUACCAAAAGAUUCUAUUGGAAUUGGGCCAUGCCAUACUUCUUCCAAGUUUUCCAACUUCAUAAGAAUCAAUGACUCCAAUAGAGGAAAGGCACCAUGUUGCAGAAACCAUUGAUCCUUUGAAUCAAUGAUAUAUUGAAUCUCGGGACUGUUAAAAACUUGAAGAUGCUUCAGUUCACGAAAACUCUCCCUAUCUGAUGGGUAAAGCACAUAUUUAGUACCACUUAAUUUGUAGAACUGUAGUUCUUCACUUCUCUCCAACAACUUGCUCAUUCCAUCCCCCAAAUGUAAGCUUCUAUUGACUUCAUAGAGAUUCAAUGCUCUUUUGGUUCUCAACCCGCCCGAAACACCUAUAAAUAUCCCAUAUCUUGUCAAGUUCUCAAAUAGAAUGUCUUUUGGUAGCAACUUGGCAUUUGGUAUAUCUAUCUCUAAAGUUGUCAAAUGAGACAAAUGAUUUAGCUCGGAUAAGCAAGCAUUGCUUUCACCUUCAACCGCCCAUUGAGUAAAGCUAGAUUUCAUGUACAAACAUUCUAAUCGAGACAAACUUGAUAAGAUAUUUUGUGGAAUUACUUCAAGCUCCUUGCAAUCAUUCAAAUCCAACAGCCUUAGAUUGGUCAAUUGCACCAUUUCAUUAGGCAAUUGUUGGAUUGUAGAACCCAUCAAGCUAAGAACUUCUAGUUUCGUUAGCUUUCCAAUUAGAGCAAUGUCUUCCAACUUGCACCCAUCUAGACGCAAUGUUUGGAGAUUUGUAAGGGAAUCAAGUGAUGAAGGUAGCACUGUAAAACGCAUUUUGGACAAAUCUAAUACUUUGAGUUUUUUCAUUCCUUCGAAAAAUGUGUUCGGGAUAUUCAAGGAAGGAUUGUUGUUAUGCAAUUGGAAAAAUUGAAGGUCCGGACAUACCAACCCUUGAGGAAGCUCAUGCACAGCUUUGCAAUGCAAAGAGAUGAAAGUGUAGCUUUUGGAUUCAUCAGUCUCUGACCAUUCUUCCAAUCCAACAUCUUCUCUGACUACAAAUGGAUGAGGAUCCUUGGAUGCAAUUUCUCUGACAACAUUGCAAACAACAUCGUGCAUCCUCACAAACUUGUCUCUAUCUUCAUGACUGUCGAGUAACAAGCUUGAGGCUUUAAGGAUUUCCACCAAUGCAAGUAGUCUAUUUCUUGCUUGCUCCAAUGAGUCGAUGCGGUCAAACAAAUCCAGACCCAUAGCAUAUGGUAACAAGAGAUCCAAUGAAAUAUUACCAUAGCCCAGCAUCCCACAAAGUAAGAACAAUGACUUAAUGUCAUCACCCUUCAAAUGGGUGUAGCUCCACUCCAGACAUGAGUAAACCUUCUUACCCACUGCUUUAAUGUUUACUGCUGCACAACUCCUGAGUUGUUCCAAGGCAUUCUUCCAUACAGCCACGGUCUCAUCUUUUAAUGCCUUGGCUUGUUACAAUUGCAAUUGGUAGACCCUCACAUUCUUCAACUACUUGAAUGGCUAUGGGUCGCAGUUCAAGAUUCUCCUCCACGGAAUCACCUGCUGUCUUCUUAAAAAGACUCCAAGCUUCUUCUGGUGGUAAAUGUUCCACUGGAAAACAUAUUUGUGCGCCCAUGUUUUUGCAUAAUAGGUCUCCAUCUCUCGAAGCCAACACUAUUUUGCAUUGUGUUUCAUCACCUUUACACGGAAUUCCUACUUUCUCCAAAUCAACUUCCCUCCAAAUAUCAUCCAAGAUAAUAAGGAUCUUCCCUUCUACCAUCAGUUCCUCCUUCAGUUCAUUCGCUUUUUUGGAUUCAUCCUCCUCGCAAAGUGACAAGUCGAACGCGUUCUCAAUUUCUAGUUGAAGUUCCGCAAUUCCUUCUUGACGUUUAUCCGAGUCUCGAGUCCAGGAUACAUCCAUAUAGGCUUGUGUGGUGAACAACCGCUGUUGCUUAGCUUGUUGAGCCACUUGUUUCAACAGUGUUGUUUUGCCCACACCGGCCAUGCCCCAUACUCCAAUCAAGUUGAUAUUGUCGUCUCUUAAGGCAUCCAUAAUUUUGUUCAAAGUGGAGGCUCUUGAUUCAAGGAAUGAAGCCUGUAGCAAAAACACAAUAUAAGGCAUCAAUUGGAAAGUUGUGAUGAUAGGCAUAAACAUGUUUCUUAAAUAUAAUUCAAUUCAAUUCUGAAAUAGUCUUUCGCAUGUUCACUUCUGUUACAUUAGUGAAAGAAAAAGUAAUUAUCAUUCUAAACAAUUUCCCAAAAAACCAAGAACUAUUAUAAUAUUAAUAUCCUUCAAGAAAUACAAUUCAAAUGGGUUUACGAACAAAUAGUAAAUAAAGUAUAAAUAAUGAAAAAAAUUAAUAAAAAAAAUACAAAAUCACAAAACUUACAUCAUUGAUACAAGGAGAAAGCUUUUAACUUUUCUUUUUGAAAAAUGUCACGUUUAUUUUGAUAUUAACAACAAAAUAACACAUAAUUUUAAAAAAAUAAAAAAAGUAAAAGAGAAAAACUAUUCAUGUUAAAAAGGAUGUAUAUGUAUAUGUAUAAUUUUCAUGUAAAAAAUAAUAUUUAGGAUUGUAUUUUUAUAUUUUAAAAAAUAAAUUUUAUUAUUUUAAAAGAAUAAUAAUUACUGUCCUUAUAAGAAAUAAAGUAUGUCUUACUCUUUUGAUUUUUAAAAAUAAAAAAUUACAAAACAUUUCUUUUUGAAAGUUUUGUAAAAUAGAUGUUAACAACAAAAUACCACAUAAAUUUUUUUUUUUCCAAAGAAAAAAAUAGUAAAGGAGAAAAAAAAUCCAAAUUAAAAAAAAAUGUACAUGUGGUAUUUCCACAUACUAUAUACAUAUUGCUAUUUAUUAAUUUUAUAAUAUAUUUUCCACGUCUCCAUGCUCUCCUCUACUAUUCUCUAUAUGUAUUUUGCCAUAGAAUUUUUAAUUUUUUAAGAGGGAAAAUAUAUUCUGUUACUUCAUUUUGAAGAAUUGUUUUAUCUUAACGGAUUAUAUCCAUUAAUUGGAAAAUUGUAAUAGAAUAUUUUGGGGAAACUCCAGUAAAUCAAAGAUUUAAGAAAAAAAAUUAUUUUGUAAAAUUAAAGUACCAUGUAAAUAAAUAAAUUAUUAAUAAUUAAUUAACUUAUUGAUAUUAUUUAUAAUACCUUUAUAUAACAAAUGCAUAUAAUAAAAUUGAAUUAAACAUAUUAGAGCAUGAUAAAUUUAAACAAAAAAUAAAUUCAUUUUAUUCUAAAAAAAUCUUAUUAUCUUGAGACGGUAGGAAUGUACUUAAAAUAAAACAAAAUUAAAAUUUUAGAUCACAAUAAAAGAAAAAAAAAAACAGGAACACACACACACACACACACACACAUAUAUAUAUAUAUAUAUAUAUAUAUAUAUAUAUAUAUAUAUAUAUAUAUAUAUAUAUAUAUAUAUAUAUUUUAGUUUUUCCAUUUGUUAAAUAAAAAGUAAUUUUCAUUAUAAGCAAUUUCCCAAAAAACCAAACAACUAUUAUAAAAUUAAUAUUUUUCAAGAAAUAUAAUUUAAAUACGGCUUUAAACAAAACAUACAAAAUAAAAUAUAAAAUUACAAAACUUACAUAAUUGUUACAAAGAAAAAGUUUAUAACUUUGUUUUUCGAAAAAUAUUACAUUUAUUUUUAUGUUAACAACAAAAUAACACAAUAUUUUUUUUUUAAAAAAAAGAGUAAAGGAGAAAUGAGGUCUAAAUUAAAAAUGAUGUAUAUAUAUAAUUUAUAUGCAAUAAAUAAUAUCUAGGAUUGUAUUUUUAUUUUUUUUAAAUGUUAAAAUAAAGAUAAUAAAGGUAAUUUGAUUGUUACUUUAAAAGAAUGGUAGUUUAAUAUUUUAAAAAAGUGGUGUAAUGAAAAAUAAAAAAUAGGGGAGACAACUAACCUUUUCAUGGGAGAGCACUUCAUUAUUAGUAGAAGUAUUGACACCUCUCCAGUCUUCCAUCCCACAAUCAAUGAUAUGUAGCUCUAUGAGAUUGUGAAAAUUCUUAAACAUUGAAGGAGACAAAACACAUCUCUUGUUGAUAAUCUUAUCCUCAUUGCAUAUAAUAUGUCUUAAUUGAGGUAGUUUUUUUAACUCUAGGAUUUUUAACUUUGUGAGGAUCCCAAAAUCUAUCUCCUUCAAUUUUGGAAGACUUUUUAGAACUAUAGUCUCCAAAUUAGGAGGGAGUGAAACCUACACAAAAAACACAAUAUAACACAUAACACCAUCAAUUGUAAAGUUGUAAUAAACAUAAAAAUAUUAGGUCAAUAUUGAAAAAUAUAUUAUUUUAUCUUUAUUGAAUUAUAUCCAUCAAUUGGAAAAUUGCGAUAAAAUAUUUUGAAGAAAUUCUAGUAACUCAAGGAUUAAAAAUGGCCGAAGCAUAGAGAAUUUAUUGCGCGCAUAAUACCCUUAUAUUUUUUUAUUAGGUUUUUCCCUUAAAACUAAAAAAAGGGACUAUCAGAAUGAAAUUUACAAUGUUUCCUUUUUGUUAUGUUUUUUAUAUUAAUAUUUAAUGUUUUUUAAAUUAAAAAUUCCCUUUUAACUUUAUUCUUGUUUUCAACUCCUUUACAUUUUAUAUUUUAUUCACUAGUUAUUUUUUUAUUUUUUGAAACUAAAUAAUAAAAUUAUUAACUUUGAUGGUUAUUUUAAAUCAAAAUUAAUUAGUCUCCUUAUAUGAAAUAAAAUAUGUUUUAAUUAGUUUUCUUGUAUCAAAUGAAAUAUGUUUUACUCUUUUUUAUUUUCAUCUAACAUCUUAACCCAAUUUUCCCAAAAGUUAUUAAUUUCAACUAUUCUAAAAUUUAAUUAAAAUAUUAUUAUUUGAAUUAAAUUUUCACUAGUUCUCAUUUCUAAUUCAUUGCAAUAUUUCUUUCAAUUAGUACAUAUUUUUUUCCUUUCUAAAUUAAAGUAAUAACUACCAUUUUUCCUUAUUUUUAUAUUAUUUCUAUUAACAUUUAUCCUUUUUCAAUUAAUUUUUCACUUAAAAAUUUUAUUUUUUUUCAACUCAUUUGUAAUUUACUUAUUACUCACAAUUUUUAUUAUUUAAAAUUAAAUUUUAAAUUAAUUUAAUAAAUUUUUUAUUCAAGGUUAAGGUAUUCUUCUCAUAAUUUUUUUUUUAAAACAUAUAUUUUUAUAAUAUAUCUCCCUAAAUAUUUCAAGUAGUAUAAGAAAAAAACAAAAAAAAAAAUAUGGAAAAAAACUAACCUUCAACAAAAGACAUCCAUGUAGUUCCUCUAAUCUUAGAAUUUUUAACUUUGAGAAAUUCCCAACAUCUAUGUCUAUCAACUUGGGAAGACUUUUUAAAACCAAGACCUCCAAAUUAUGAGGGAAUGAAACCUACAUGAGAAACACAAUAUAUAAUACAUGAUAUCUUCAAUUGUAAAAAUGUGAUAAACACAAAAAUAAUAGGUCAAUAUAAUUCAUUCACUCUCAAAUUAAAAUUUAAAAUAAUUUAAUUAAUCUAUUAUUAAAUAUUAAUACCAAAUAUACAAAAUAUUAUUCUUUUUAUGGUAUUCUUCUUGAAAGCCAUACUUAUCAUUACUUAUGCUAUAUCAUUUACAAACCAUACUAAUUUGAUCAUAUAUAUCUAUAUUAUUGACAAACCACACUAAUUUAAUCAUAACAUUAAUUCAAUCAUAAGUAUCCUUAUAUAUUAUUUAUUAUUUUAUCCGUUUUAUCUAAAAUUUUCAUAUUUUUGUGUAUUUUUACCAAUAUUUUCAUAAAUAUGGAUAUUUUUAACAAUAUUUUAAUAAAAGAGAAUCACUAAGCUUUUUAUCUUUGUAAAAAAAAUUUAUUAUUUAGUUCAAUUAGAUUUAAAAAAAAAAUAAAGUUAAUUAUUAAGGAAAAGAGAUAGAAUAUUUCUUAUUAUGUUAUAAUAAAUAAUUGUAAAAAACAAAAUCAAAUAAAUAAACAAAAUGAAGAUUCAUUUUUGUCUUCAUUUUCCUAUCUUUCCUUAUUAAUCAUUUUCAAUUUAUUUAUAAAACUUAUAAAAUAUUACUACAAUUUUAAGAUUUUUUUAAUUCAAACUAGACUUUUUCCAAAUUUCAGUGUAUCUUCAAAUAAAAUAAUUUACUAAAUUCUCUUCUCAUCCUUAUGUUAUCUCCUUUUAACAAACUUAUAAGGUGCAAUUAGAAAGUGCAUGUGGACCUUACCCAGUUUUUCUUUUGAUUUAUUUAUUAAAAAAAAGUAAUAUGAAAAAAAAACUAUGGAAAUUAACUAUUAAUUAAACUUAAACAUACCUGAUAACUGAAAAAUGGCAAUUGGAUAUCAAGAUUGCCUUGGGAACACAUUCCUUGCGAUGUCGUUUCCAAAUUAGAGCCGAAGUAGUCAAAAUUCAUGAGCUCUGGUAGAUUCCUAAGUGCCAAAAAUCGUAAUUUAGGGAGCAGUUGCAAGUCGGUCCCAACAUGAUCAACUUCUUUUAUUUCGAACUCCCCUUCACAUGCGAUUAUUUGUUGCAUGGCAUUGCAAUCAUUUAUUGUCAUUUCUUCUAGUUGGGAAAGGCCUCUAGCUGUGGAAAGUAAGAAGAGAAAUUUCAAUCCAUGACAUUUCUCCACAUAUAAAGUUUUUAAGUUAUCCAAAGACCUUAGGGGAAUUGGGCCACGACAUGCUUCUUCCAAAUUACUCAACUGUAGUUCUUCAGUUUUCUUCAACAACUUUCCAAUUCCAUCCCUCGAAAGUAAGCUUCUAUCAACCCGUUCCAGCUCUAAUGUUUUUGAUGUUUUAUAGGAGUUUUUCCACUUAUCAAUACUGCCUACAGAUAUUGCAUAUCUUGUUAAGUUCUCAAAGAACAUGUCUUCUUUUGGUAGCAACUCGACAGCUGGUACUUCUAUCUCUAUAGUUGUCAAAUGGCGCAAAUGAUUCAGCUCCGAUAAACAAACAUUGCUUUCUCCAUCACUAACUCCUUCAGCUGCCCAUUGAGUAAAGCUGAAUUUCAUGCACAAACAUUCUAAUCGAGACAGGCUUGAUAAGAUAUUUCGUGGAAUUACUUCAAGCUGCUUACAAUCAUUCAAAUCCAACAACCUUAGAUUCGUCAACUGCCCCAUUUCACUAGGAAGUUGUUGGAUAUGGGAACCCACCAUGCUAAGAACUUGUAGUUUCUUUAGCUCUCCAAUUAGAGCUAUGUCUCCCAACUUGCACCUGUCUAGACGUAAUGUUCGAAGAUUUGGAAGGGAAUGAAGCGUUGAAGGUAGUGUUGUGAAAUGCAUUUUAGACAAGGCUAAAACUUUGAGUAGGUUCAUCCCUUCAAAAAAUGUGUUUGGGAUUUUCAAGGAAGGACUGUUGUUCUGCAACAGAAAAAAUUGAAGUUUCGGACAUACCAACCGGUGAGGAAGCUCAUGCACAUCAUUGCAACUUAAAGAGAUGUAUUUGGAUUCAUCAGUCUCUGGCCAUUCUUCCAAUGGAACAUCUUGUCUAACUACAAAUGGAUGAGGAUCCUUGGAUGCAAUAUUUCUGGCAACAUCACGAACAACAUCAUGCAUCCUGACAGACUUGUUAUCAGCAUCCAUGAAAAGCAACCUUGAGGCUUCACCUCCAAAAUGGUAUCUAUGAUCUUCACCGUCCAGUAACAAGCUUGAGGCUUUGAGGGUUCUCACCAAUGCAACUAGUUUAUUUCUUGCUUGCUCCAAUGACUUGAGGUGGUCAAACAAAUCCAAACCCAUAGCAUACUGUAACAAUUGAUGCAUUGAAAUAUCGGCAUAGCUCAACCAACCACAAAGUAAGAACAAUGACUUGACUUCAUCACCCUUCAAAUGGUUGUAACUCCACUCCAGACAUGUGUAUACCUUUUCCUCCACUCCUCUGAUGUUUGUUGGCGCAGAACUCCUCAGUUCGUCCAAGGCAUUCUUCCAUACAGCUACGCUUUCAUCUUUUAAUGCCUUUGCAAUUGUUACAAUUGCAAUUGGUAGACCCCCACAUUCGUUAACUACCUCAAUUGCUAUGGGUCGCAGUUGGUCCCCCUCCACGGAAUCACCUGCUGUCUUCUUAAAUAAAUGCCAAGCUUCUUCUUCUGGUAAAUGUUGAAGUGGAAAACAUUCUUUUGCGCCCAUGUCUUUGUGUAAUAGGUCUUCAUUUCUAGAUGCCAUCACUAUUUUGCAUCCUUUCUGGUCAUCUUUAGAAGGAAUUCCAACUUCCUCCAAACUAACUUCCUUCCAAAUGUCAUCUAAGAUGAUAAGGAUCUUCUCUUUCUGCAGUCUCUGCUUUAGUUCAGCUGCUCUUGUGGAUUCAUCCUUCCCCUUAAAUUCCAAGCCUAACAUGUCUGCAAUUUUUUGUUGAAUAUCCGAAAUUCCUUGUUGAAUUUUUUCUGGUUCUCGAGUCCAAGAUACCUGUAUAUAGACUUCUGUGGUGAACAGCUUCUCUUGCUUAGCUUGUUCAGCUAAUUGUUUCACCAGUGUGGUUUUGCCCACGCCGCCCAUCCCCCAUACCCCAAUCAUCUUCAUCUUAUCAUCUCUUAAUGCAUCCAUAAUUUUGUUCAAAGUCGAGGCUCUUGACUCAAAAGAUUCAUAUUCUUUAAACGUUACACACCGUGGAGGGACACGAUAUGAUACGCCAUCGGGGAAAUUGCGGUUUUCUUGGACUUCAACAAUAACCUGCGCCUUCUUGUCCGCUUCCCUGCUUAGCAGGUACCGUGACUUGAGAUUAGGACACCACCCAUUGAAACAGCUCUUAUUUUCAUCCUUCUUCAAUUCCUCUGCCUCCCCUGUAAUCUCAUCUACCCGAUUGAGCCACUCCUGAACAAUAGGUCUGAUUUGGUCCCCUCGUCUCGUAGCUUCAUCAACAGUUACUAGCACGUCAUCCCUCGCCUUCCCCAGCUUCUGAACUUUGUUGUGGAGUUCAUCAGUAUAGCUCCGAUAGCAAAACAGAUAACUAAGCUGGCGUCCAAUUGGAGCAACCAAGUACUCUGAAACUUUUGCAGCAACGGCAAUAAUGAUCUCUGUCAUUUCGUCUCAGUUGGAUUUGUUUUUUCUUUUUUGUGUGGUGGUUUUGUUGGGAAAACAGAAGGGAAAUGAUGAGAAAACAGAAACAAAUGAAAGCAGGAACAAGAGGAAACUAAAAUAAGAGAGUGGAAGAAAUGGAAGGAGCAGAGUAUUUGUUCCAAGCAGAGAGACGGUCACCACCAAAAUGAAAAGCAGAAUCAGUAGCGAAUAUGAGUGAAGAGAUGGAGAAAGCUCAAGGAAUGCAUGCAAUUUGAUUCAAUGUGACAAAACGAGAACAAAGUCGGUGUUUUGCAAGCAGAUCCUGAUGUGAGGCCGAAUGUGAAGAGUAGAUUACCAAGCUAUGAACACAGAUGUUGGUUUUUUUUUUUUUUUUUUUUGGUGGGGGGGGGGGGGGGAGGGGGGUUUGGUUAUGUUGGAAAACAGAUGGGAACAGAGAAAAUAAGGGGAAAUUAAGAAGAGGGUGGAGCAAAUGAAAAUAAACAAGGAAAUGAAAGGAGCAGAGUUUGGGUGAAGGAAUCAGAGGUGAAUGAGAGCCAAGUUAGGAAUGGAUGAUAGAAUGGGAAAGAGGUAAUGGCUCAAACCCAAUUGGAGUUCAAGUAAUUUGAUUCAAGGAAAGAGAUCUCUGGUGUAAGGCCAAAAGGGCAUGAAAGAAUCAUUAUUGUGGGACCUUAUCUUUAUCUACCUUAAUUUAGUGAUGUUUUGGAGCUGCCUCCAAACAAAAGCAACCCUGCCAUCUACUUUCGGUGCUUUUGAUGCUUCAUUGAUGGAUGAUUUCAAGAUUACUUUAAAUGGUGUAAUCUCUUUUUAAUUUGUUCUUUUUCUUUUUUUAAUUUUAAUAUUUUUCUGUAUAAAAAAAAGGGGGAGGGGAAAGAAUUUUAAUUCAUUGGUAAGAGUUAUGUGAUAACAUACGUAGGGGUCCCGAGCAAAAGAAUUUUAUUUGUGGGAAUCUUUUGAUAACGAAGCAAAUUCAAUUGUGGAAAUUGAUGGAAAAGAUUUAUAAAUUUAAAGUAUGUUUGACAUGUGAUUUAAAAACAGUUUUUUGUUUUUAAAAAUAAAAAAUUGUUUUUAAAAAUUUUUUAAUACUAUUUGGCCACUAUUCUUUGAAAAAAAUUUUUAAAAACAAAAUAAAAUAGAAAAUAAUUCUUAAAGAACAAAUAAGAGUUAUUUUUGUCAGUUUUUAAAAACAAAAGAAAAACAUGGUCAAACAGACCCUUAUAUUUUCACUAAUCUUACAUUAUAUUUCUCGAAAUAUACGUGUAGAAAUUAUAUUUUGUUCACAAUCAUACAUCUCUUGAUUCAAUAAAAUAAAUUUGAUUCUAAAGUUACAUAUAUAUAUAUAUAUAUAUAUAUAGAAGCUAUAUUUGGUUUACAUCACAAAAAACUUGACUUAAAUAAUGAUGGUAAAGAAACAAGUUUUUUCAAGUACGACUCUAAAACACAUGGGUUUUGAUAGAAGUAUAAAUGAGAUAAUGACAAGUUUAGUAUUUUAUUUUAUUUUAAAGUUUGGAGCAAAUUCGAAAAUGAUCUUGUCUCAUCCUAUUUGAUUAUAUAUAAUAAAUAAAAGUCAAAUUAACUUUUUUUUGUUUUCCCUUUUUUCUAACCUAUAUAAAAUUUUAAAAUCAAUUAUUUCUUUUCUAACCUAUAUAAAAUUUUAAAAUCAAUUAUUUCUCAUAAAAAUAAAUUAUAAAAAACAAAAUAUUGAUUUAUUUAUAAAAUGUAUUUAUUUUUAAUCCAAAUAAAUUUAUUCUAGAAAAAAAUAAUUUACAAAAUUACAUUGGGUGGGUAGGGGGAUUUCUCCUACCUUUCCUAACCUGCCCAUUUAGUCAAAUUUCUUAUAUAUAUUGGAAUGGGGUUGAGAUAGGGAUUACCCGUGUAUUCGAAUGAGGUUGACAAUCAUGAAAAGAAAAGAAAAAACAAAAAAUCUCAUAUAUUAUUCAAAACUUGCAUGUCUACAUAUUUUCUUCAAAUGAUAUAAAACUUUAUUCAAUAAAAUGCUUUAUUCCAACUGUCAUAUAUAAAAAUUAAAGUAGGUUUGCAAUUCCAAGAACUUUAUUCCAAAAAAGAAAAAAAAAUCCUUUAUAUUAUUCCAAACUUACAUGUCUAAAAGAACUUUAUUGGAAACUUAAAUGUGUAAAAUAUAUUCUUAGUUUACGUGACAAAGAAGUUGAUUGAAAGAAAUAGAAAUAGAGAAAAAGAAAACCAAAAUAUGUCUCCAACUUGAAGCGUCUGUGAAGAUGCCAUGUAAAAGAAUAACUUUCAUGGGAAUGGCUUCAGCUCAAGUAUAAUGGAAAAGAAAAGAUAUAGCUUUCAUGUUAGGGGUGACUUUGCCUUGAUAUGCUUUGCUUUGGAAUUUGGAUGAUCUUUUGCCUAUUUGUUUCCUCAAAAAUUUAAGGAAAAAUGCAAGAAAAAAUAAUAGAGCAGGAAAAUAGAAAGAAAAAAAAAUAAAAAAAAUAAAAUUCAAAUUAUUUUUAUAUGUUACUUCAACUUCAUUUAAUUUAUUUUAACUUUUUAAUAUAAAAAUUAAAUAAUUUAAAAAUACAUAAGUUUUUAAUUAAUUUUAAUUAUAUUUAAUUUUCUUUAACAUUUUUCAUACGAUAAAAAAGAUAAAAAAAAUCAUUUUUUUUUACAUUUUCUUCUUUUCUUAAUGCUUUUUAAUGAACCAAACAUAACCUUUAUAUAUUGAGUUUAACAAUAUUGAAUAAAAAUGGUACCAAGAAACCAAUUAAGUGUAAUGAGGUUUAAACCUUUUACAUAUGAACUCGAUCUACCUUUUGUUUUUGUUGAUGUGAUAUUUUUUAUGUUAAUAGUUAAAGAAGCAGAAGAGGAUUUAGCAUUUUAGAAAAGGUAAUAAAAUAGAUGAUUAAAACUAUCAAUUAUAUUUAAUCAUAUUAAUGGCACUGGCAAAGGCAGAAAUAAUGGGCAGGGGGCAAAACCAAAAAAAAAAAUUGUUUGAAGGGAGGUGAUGGUCUUCAAGAUGCAAAAUUGGCUCCUUGGUUAAGCCUUUUUUACCUUUAAAUUUGGCAUAGAAAUUUGGUUUUUCGGGAUGGGGGUAGAUGAACUUUAGUGGCUUUUAGUGGCUUAAUGAACUUUUAUUUUUUUUUCAUUUUCCCUUUUUUCUAACCCCAUAUAAAAUUUUACAAAUAAUUACUUCUCAUAAAAAUAAAUUAUAAAAAAUAGAAUAUUGAAUUAUUUAUAAAUUGUAUUCAUUUUAACUCAAUUAAAUUUUUUCUAAAAAAUAAAAUAAUAAUUAAAAAUUACAUUGGGCUGGUAAGAGAAUUUCUCCUACCUACCCUAACCCGUCUAUUCCGUUAAAUUUCUUAUAUAUAUUGGAAUGGAGUUAAGAUAGGGAUGUUCCAUAUAUUGGAAUAAGGUUAAGAUAAUUGGAACACAUGAGGUUGAGAUAAAGAUGACCCAUUUGCUGUUAUACCUGGACUUAGACAAAAGAAAAGUAACUGCUCAUAUAUUAUUCAAAACUUGCUUGUCUAUGCGUUUUUUUCAAAUCAUAUAAAACUUUAUUCAAUGAAAUGCUUUAUUCCAACUGCAAUAUAUAAAAAUUAAAGUAGGUUUGCAAUUCCAAGAACUUGAUUCCAAAAAGCAAAAAAAAAAAAUCCUUUAUAUUAUUCCAAACUUACAUGUCUAAAAGAACUUUAUUGGAAACUUAAAUUUAUAAAAUGCAUUAUUAGUUUAUGUGACAAAAAAAGCUGAUUGAAAGAAAAAGAAAAAAAAAAAGAAAAAAAGAAAACCAGAAUAUUACUCCAACUUGAGCCAUUUGUGAAGAUGCCAUGUCAAAGAAUAACUUUGAUGGGCAUGACUUUAGCUUAAGGAUAAUGGAAAAGAAAAGAUAUGGCUUGCAUGUCAGGGAUGACUUUAAUUUGAUGUGCUUUGCUUUGGAAUUUGGAUAAUAUUUUGCCUAUGUUUUUUUCCUUGAAAAUUCAUGGGAAAAUGCAAGGAAAAGAUAAUAAAGAGGGCAAAUAGAAGAAAAGAAAAUAAAAAAUAUUUAAAAUGAUUAAUAAAUUAUUUUUAUGUGUUACUUCAAAUUCAUUUUACUUAUUUUAACUCUUCAUAAGUUUUUAAUUAAUUUUAAUUAUAUUUGAUUUUUUUUUACAUUUUUCAUAGGAUAAAUGAAUAUGAAAAAAUCAUUUUUCUUAAUAAUAUUUUUUUUUUCUUAAUACUUUUCAUAAACCAAACAUAAUCUUUAUUUAUUAAGUUUAACAAUGCAUAAUAAAAAUGGUACCAAGUAAUGAAAUCAAUAAAGUGUAAUGAGGUUUAAACCUUUUACACAUGAAAUCGAUCUAACUUUUGUUUUUGUUUUUGUUGAUGUGAUAUUUUCAUGUUAAUAGUUAUAGAAGUAGAAGAGAAUUUAGCAUUCGGUGGGGUGGGUGGGGGAAUGUGUCUUCAAAAUGCAAAUUAGCUCCAUGGUUAUGCCUUUUUACCUUUAAAUUUGGAAAUUUAGUUGAAUAUAAACAAUCAUGAUUCAUCAUACAUUGGAUGAAUCAACCCAAAGCACAAAUCAAAGAUCAAGAGUAAAGUCAUGUAUAAGCAAAAAUAGAUAUAUCAUAAAUGUAUAGGCAAAAAAAAAAAAAAAACCCAAAUAAAAUAUUUAAAGUGAUAUAAUGAAGUAAAGAAAUACAUACAUGAAAUGUGCAACAUGCCCUCAACAUAAAUCAAGAUUAAAAGAACUCACAAUUAUAUAUAAAAAGAUGAAUUAUCAAGAAUAGGUAAAACACUCAACAACAUGGCAAAAAUGAAGUAUUCAUAACAUAAAUCAUAAUAAAAUAUUUAAACAUGGUAUUUUAUCAAAAUAAAAUUUGAGCAUCAUCCUCAAUGUGUCUAAAAGGUAACCCAAGUGUUAAAAUAAAUUAAUCAACCCUCAGUUAAUCCAGAUUAAAUCAAAUUUAUCAACGCUCUACAAAACAUUCAGUAUUGGUCAAAACAGGAACACUUACAAAAUAAAUCCUAAAAAAAUAUUUAGAAAUAGAAUUUUAUCAUGAAAAAAAUUGGACAACAUAUUUAACAUGUCUAGAUUACAAUGCAAAAUUAUUUAAUCACAUGUCAAUCAAUACCAGAUUUCGUUGCAUUAGGGACACUACAUAGAACCAUUAACAUUCAAUAAGAACAGAGGAACUUGCAAAAUAAGUCCCAAAAGAAGAUACUUAGAUAUGGAAUUUUGUCAUGAAAAAAAAUAGACAACAUCUUUAAUAUGUUUAAAUUACGACUCAAAAUGCCAAAUUAUUAAAUUAUAUCUCAUUCAAUACCAGAUUUCAUCACAAGCACAUUGGUCAGAAACAAAGCAAAUUUCAAUAGCAUUUCAAAACAAAUUUAUUUAACUAACCUACAAGCAUGGUAAAAUCAAAAGAAAAAACUUUACAAUAUAUUCAACAUGAUUAUUUUAUAAGAAAGUCUUAAUUGAAGGAAUGACUUAUCUUAGUCAUAAAAACAGGUUUCCCAUUGUGAGUGCACUAGUGUAUACGGUUACACAUUGACAGAACCUGUAGUGAAUCAUGAGAUUAAUUAUUGAAUAGUGUAUAUGGUUGCAUGAGCUCUCAACCUUAAGAGAAUAUUAAGCUACUAUUAAGGUCUUCAAUGACUUUGAUAUACAAGUAAGAUUGUAAAGUAAUCAUAUAAUCCCUAUUAAUUAAGUCAUUAUUGAUUAAGGCAAGUGGCAAUAGGUAUUUUUGAAAUAAAUAUCAUGAUAUCUCAUGAGAUUGACACAAUAUAUCUACUUACAUGAUCCUAAGGACUUGUGAUUGUAAAAUUUGUAGCAUCACAGUAGUUCUUUUAGUAGAAUUUGACAUAUGCUCUUAGUAAGCUGAAGUAUGUUAAUUGGUCACAUAAUAAGAAGAUAUCAAACUCAAAAAUGAUAGAUGUAAUUUUAAGAGGUUGAUGGCUUUCAUCUUGUUAGAUUAUAGACAUUAGUUCACAAGGAGCUUACAUGUAGCAAUUAGUAGGUCAUAGACCUAAGAAAUUGAUUAAAGUACAUUUAGUCAACUUAUUUCUUAAUUUAAUUUCAUAGGAUGUUGGAAUACAAUUGACUUUUUGUAAUGGAAUGUUGAGCCAACUUCAAAAUUGGAUUCCAAGAGAGCUAAUAUUUUUCUACGGUCCUAGUAGUCCCUGCUCAAACUCAUGCUCCUUGAUGGUAUGUUGUUUUGAGGGAUAUUUGAGAUUUUACUUAUAUGUAUGUAUAAAGGUGUUUUCAUAAAAGUACAAAAAUUGCACAAGAAUUUAUGAAUUAUUUUUUUAGAUUUGGCUAAUUAAUUAAUUAGAACCUAAGAAGGUUAAUUAAUUUAUUAAGACCUAGUGGAUAAGAUAAAGUAACUCAAGUCUAAGAUGGAUUCAAGUUACUUAAGCUCACAAGGACUAUAUGAACCCUUUUAGGGUUCAAGAUUAGAGACUUUAAUUUAUUAUUGUCUUCCAAAGAGAGAAAGAAAACUCUAACCUUCAUCCCCUAAAGAGAAUUUUUCCCUUCUUUGUUGCCAAGAUUUAUAACAGAGCUAUUGGAUAUAAGAUAUCUAGGCCUUUGAGAUUGUUCUUCAUCAAUGGAAAAAAAAAAUUGGGAAUAUCCAAAUUUGAAGUAUCAUUGUUUACUUGUUUCUCACACUUGAAUAAAGUUUUUAAAAUGCAUAUUAGUUUUUGUUGCACUUAGAAUCUUAAAUGCACGCACCAUUUAACCCGCUAUCUAAUUUAUUAUUGUCUUCUAUAGAGAGAGAAAGAAAACUCCAACCUCCAUCCCUUUAAAGAGAAGUUUUUCCUUCUCCAUUACCAAGAUCCAUGGAAGAGCUAUUGUAUAAAAGAUUUAUAAAUAAGUAACCUAACCCUCGAUGUCGAUCCUGUUUUUCACAGACCACCUUUUCCAAAACAAGGAGUCACACUUAGGGUUUUUCUUCUUAUUUUGUUUACCUUUUUUAAAAUAAAACAAAAAUAAGUAGCGACUCCAAGUCAUUUUCUAAUAAAUAAAAUCAUUUUCAAAAUAAAAAUUGAGCUCGUCAUCGAGUGGAAGCGCAUGAGCCGAAAUGCGGGGUCCACACUGUAUUUUAAAAUAAAUUUAAUUUCUACAUAAAUCAAUUAAAAAUAUAUUUUGAUAUAAUACAAUUUUCAUCAAUCAAUUAAAGAAUUUUUUUAUUUAGAAUUUUAAUUUUAUUAUAUGAAGGAAAUAAAAAUUUUGAUUUGACAGAACACAGAAGACAAACUAUACAAUAAAAUUAUUUAAUAAUAAAAUAUUUAUUUUAUAAAAAAAAAAAUUAAUAUAAAAUAAUAAAAUUAUAAUUUUUUUAUUAGUAUACACCAAAUAAAAGAGGUUUAUGGUGAAAUUUCAAAUAUAUAGGAUUUAGAUGUAUUCAGUCAAAACCUUAUGGGAGGCAAAUGAAAUUAACUCUUACAUAAUAUAUGAAAAUUCCAUUAGAUGAACCACAUUGGUAUUAUAAUUUAUCAUACUUUCAUUGAUUUUAUUUUCAUAAUUGUGAUUAAUUUGCAAUAAAUUUAUGGGGAAAACAAGAAAGCCUUCAAUUCCAUUCUCCAAAAGGGAAAACACUAAACAAAAGGCCAAAAGUUACAUUCACUUUACCAACACAAACCAACCAAGAAAGAUAGAAGAAAUGAACUUGCAACAUGACAACCACAAACCAAGUGUAUUGUUCUCAUUUAUUCUAUUCAAAGCAUCAUGUACACAAACAUCCCCUUCCAAAUGGGCUCAUUAAAAUGGAGGAGGCCCACCAUGUGGCCCACCAGGAGGCCCACCAAAGAUAGGCCCACAGCAGCUCUCUAGGAUGCAGCAACAGCACAGGAAAUAGAAACUGCCAAAUAAAAAUCGUGUCAUAAAUUAAUAAUAACAUGACUGAUCAUUUUUGUUACUGAUAACCCUUCUUUCCUAAGGCAUUGUUUGGUUAGAAUCCCAAAAGCACUUUUUCUCCUUUUUUAGUUUCAAAAAUUAUUUUCAUGUUAAAUGUGAACCCAAACAUUACCCAAAUGAUUCUGGGUUUUGAAGAUAGCUAUAAAACUCAUAGAUCUACCCAAAAAUGAACGAUGGGGAAUUAAUAAAGAAAAAAAAUUAAAAUUAAAUAAAAUGAAAAAAGUCUCCAAAAGAACUCACCAUGUAGACACGGCCCUGCAAAUACCACCGCAAAGAAAAGCAAAGCAGCCACAAGGGCCUCCAGGCCCUCCUGGUCCCGGGGGUCCCCAACCUGGAGGAGGCAUCUUUUUCUCUCACUUUCUCGAGAAAAUGCAAAGCAGGGAGAUGAACUUAGCGUGGUAGAACAACACCAAUGGUAUUCUAUAUAUAUAUAUAGAAUUUUGGAGCGAUGACUAAAGAGAAGAAAACUUAACGAUGGAGUAUUCUUGAAUCUUGAUCUUUCUAGGCCAGUAUUUGACCGGUAAGUAAAGGUGGAGAAACAGUUGGUUGGGAUAAGGAUGACUGGAGGGGGCAGCUGCCUUUCUUCGGCCUACCUUUCAAAGCCACUAGUUGUUUUCAAUUUUGAAAGCUCCAUGUGACUUUCCUUUUAGUUUUUCUCUCUCUCCUCCUCUUCUUUUCUCACUGAGUCCACCAGUAGGGAAUCGACGCCUGGUUUCAAUUUCAAUCCCAUAGAAGAACAAAAGAAAACGUGAAAUAUGGUUUAGAAUUGGAUCUUUGUCUGAAGAGAAAAUUGGAUUUCACAGCUCCCAAUAGAUUGUUUUGCUAAAAUAAAAUGGCUAAAAAUAUGCACUGUUUUUUAAAGCAUUUUUAUAGUCCGUUUACAAAUCAAUUAGAAAAUAAGGGCACGUCUGGUAAUUGUUAUGUUCUCACGUUUGACAAUCAAAAACACCCUUUUUUUUUUUUUGUUAUUAAAAACAAUACAAAAAUGUUUCAAAUAAUAUUUUUUUAAUAAUUUUUAAAUUUUUUUAGAGUUAUUUUAAAAAAUAAUUAUACAAAAAUGUAGAAUAAUUAAAAAUAAAAUACUAUAUAUAAAAAUUAUUUUUAAAACAAAUUUUAAAAAUAUUAAAAACGAAAUUAAAAUCAUUUUAAGUUUCCAAAUAAACUUUUGUUUUACAAAACACUAUAUUAAGAAUUGCUCUCAAAAAUUGUUUUUAAAAGUAUGUCCUAAGUAAACUUUUCAAAAUAUAAAAUCAAUUGAUGUGAUUAUUAAACUAAAAUCAUCAAUAUAUCUUUUAAAAAUUACUUCAUUGUUAGGCAAAACAUCAAAAAAUAAUAAUAAUUUUUGUAUCUAAAUGCUAACUAAUUCUUCAUAAGAAUAUUAUUGAUAAUUUUUUAAUAAUAUUAAAAAUAUUUUUAUCAAAAUUGCUUCCAAUAUUGCUAUGUUUUUAUCACAAAAAUCAAUAAAAUUUAGGGUUAUUUAAUUAAAAGUCAUUAAAAACCUAAUUUUGAUAAUUUAACUUUUCAUCAUUUUUUUGCUAUAUUUUGAUAAAAAUAUCCUCAUUCUUUUCUUUUAAAAAUAACUUUUUUGUUUAAAACCUACAUAUAAAUACUUCAAAUAGUCGAGAGCAUUUAUGUCAAAAAUUAGUUACUCUUCAGUAAGAACAUGGAAGAGGUUUAAUUUAUAAAUAUGAAGAUUAUUUCAUCUUUUUUAACUAAUUAAUCCUAAAAUUUGUUUCAACAACAUACCCAUUUAUGUUUUAUGAUUAAUUUCCCUUAUUAAUUAAUCCAAUAAUACAAAUUAAAUAGAAAAAAAUUGAAAAUCCAAAACUACUUGUAAAAAUAUUAGGUGGCAUUAAGUGAAAAAUGGAUGAGAUUUGGUAUAGAUUUGGAUUUCUUGUCUCUUUUAGCAAAACAAAAACAAAAGGAAAAAAAAUCACAAAAUUAAAGUCAAAUGAUGACAAUUAUAAAUCUCAAUUAUUUAAUACAAAAGCAAGCAUCUUGAUAGUGACAGCCAAAUUAAAAUCAAAUUAAUCUCUAACCCUUAAAGAAUGACUCCACCAUGACUCCAAACUUUGAAGGAAAUAAUUUAUAUAAAGCUACAAGCCAUUAAUAAAAACAAGGCCCAUUGGAAUGGGGGCAAGUGGGGGUGACAAAUGGAUUAAAAAAUGUUGGUGACUUGCAAUUGGAAAUCUUUGCCAUCAAUGGGCCAGCUAGUCUUUUUGCCUUGGCACUUUUGUUAACAGGGUGGCUUCAAUUAUGUCACAAUUCUUAAAUAUUUGAUAAGGGUAACAAUAAUUGGAAGAGAAUGCAUGUGAUACCCCCUUGUAUUUCAGUGUCAGAGCAUGGCCAUGUGUCUAGUUAAUAAGCAUUAUUGUUGGACAAGUGUCAUCUGCUCAUGGUGACUUAUAAUGACUUGGUUGGUGCAAAUUCAUUAUCACCCAACUACCACCUACUCUAAAUAUUUUCUUAAUCUAUUUUCAAAAAUGAAGAAAAUUUAAAAGAAAAUUAUUUUUAAAUUUUUUUUUGAAAAAAAUAAUCUCUCUUGCAAGCACAAUGUUAUAAUAUGCUAUCUAUAAUAACUCACCCUUUUUUCAUAGAGAUUUUAUCCACUCUACAUCUAUUAAAAGGUAAAUAAAUUUCUAAUUUUACCUCAAACACAAAGCAAAAAACAUACUUUAAUAGAAUUCUUUAGAAAAAAAAUAAAUAAAUAACUCCAAAUGGGCAAAUAUGGAUUAAGUAUCCCCUGCUUCAACUAUUACAUAUACUUCAAAUACAUAAACUAGUCUAACUAUCCAUAGUUUUAUCAUAUAUGACAUCUAAUUUCAAAAUAAUUGGAAUACAUAAUCAUUAUUGGAGAUGCUUUAACGUAUUUGCUCUUUAUAUCUCUUGCUUGGAGGUGUCCCCUACAUAGUCUUCAUCCUCUCCCCUUUGCAGGCCUUUUACUUUCUUUUUCCUUUUCUAGGUAUGCUCAAUAUUAUCUCAUCUUUUCUCUUUAUUGGGGUCUAAGCCUUGUGGAUGAGUGAGGUAUUUCAAUUGCUUGUGAUAGAGGUACCUGCUUUUGCCUCAAGUAGGGGUCAUCUACCACUACCUACCCCAAGUCUAUUUACCUCCCAUUAUAAUCUAUGUGGAAGUAAAGAAUCAAAUAAAAAUCUCAAUAAUAUAAUUAAAGGUUACUCUAUCGAUCUUAGGGAAAUCAAAAUAGAAAAGAAUUCAUCUUAGAGUAAAAUCAAUAUUCAUACUUAUACUAAACUCAAUUGUCUUGUAACUUUCAAAUCAAUUCUCCCUCUAAACAAAAUUUUAAGAGGUAAUUAUAUUAUAUUCUAUAUAUAUAUAUAUAUGUAUGUAUGUAUGUAUGUAUUGGCUCAAGUCUUGUGGAUGAGUGAGGCAUUUAAGUUGCUUGUGAUAGAGGUGCUUGCUUUUGCCUCAAGUGAGGUCAUCUUUCUCUAUCAACCCCAAGUCUAUUUACCUCCAAUUAUAAUCUCUACGGAAGUAAAGAAUCAAUAACAAUCUUGACAAUAAAAUUAAAGGUUACUCUAUCGACUUUAAGGAAGUCAAAAUAGAAAAGAAUUCAUCUUAGAGUAAGAUCAAUGUUCAUACUUAUACUAGACUCAACUAUCUUAUAACAUUCAAAUCAAUUCUCCCUCUAAACAAAAUUUUAAGAAGUAAUUAUGUUUUAUAUAUAUAUAUAUAUAUAUAUAUAUAUAUAUAUAUAUAUAUAUAUAUAUUGGCUCAAGUCUUGUGGGUGAGUGAAUGAGUUGUGAUAGAGGUACUUGCUUUUGCCUCAAGUGGGGUCAUCUACCUCUCUACCUACCCUGAGUCUAUUUACCUCCAAUUAUAAUCUUUACGGAAGUAAAGAAUCAAUAACAAUCUCGACAAUAAAAUUAAAAGGUUAUUCUAUCGACUUUGGGGAAGUCAAAAUAUAAAAUAAUUUAUCUUAGAAUAAGAUCAAUGUUCAUACUUAUACUAGACUCAACUGUCUUACAAUGUUUAAAUCGAUUCUCCCUCUAAACAAAAUUUAAAAAAUAAUUAUAUUAUAUAUAUUAAAGGGGCAAUCAACUUCUAAUUUUUAUAGUUAUAAAUAAAUAUAAUUUGCCUCAAGUCUUGUGGAUGAGUGAGGCAUUUCAACUACUUACGUUAGGGUACUUACUUUUGCCUCAAGUAGGGGUCAUCUACCUCUACCUACCCCUAGUCGGUAUACCUCUAAUUAUAAUCUCUAUGGAAGUAAAGAAUCAAUAAAAAUCUCGACAAUAUAAUUAAAGGCUACUCUAUCAACGUUGAGGAAGUCAAAAUAGAAAAAAAUUCAUCUUAGAGCAAAAUCAAUGUUCAUACUUAUACUAGACUCAAUUGUCAAAGGGUAGUUAACUUCUAAUUUUUAUGGUUAAAAAUAAAUACAAAAUUAUAUUUAAAAGAAUCUUAUAAGUAUUGAAAAGUAGAAAAUAAAGAAAUAACAAUUUGGUAUGAAAUACUCUUUUUUUUAAAUGUGUAUGCAAAUGGUAGUAAAGUGUUUUUAGAAGACCAAAAUUUUACUUUUUCUUUUCAAAAGAUGAUUUCAUGGUAUACGAAUUAAUAAUAUACUACCACAUUUACACGUAAUAGAAUUAUGAGAGAAUGUGAUAAUAGUCUUGUUUCGUGAUUCACCUUCAUUUCAAUCUAAUCGAAAUUGGUAUAAUUUAAGAUGAGUCCACCUUGACAAAUUUUUAACUCUAAUUAUCAAACCAAUAUUCUUAAAUUAUGUCAUGUAUUUAAUAAGAGGUCAAACCAAGCCUACUACCAAAGACACCUUGACUAUAUUCUCAACUCUAGCAAAUAUAAAACAUUUAAGUGUUAUGUCAAAAGAUCUGUAGGGGUAGGUGACAUUUGGUAUGAUGAUAAAAUCAAUUGAACGACCACCUCUAGAAACAUGGAAAUAUCCUCUUAAUGAUAUCAUUAAUUGUAUGAAUUAUAAUCUCAUCAUGCAUAAUUAUAAAUAAGCUAUAAAUUCAAUAUUAGCACUAAAUGAAUUCAUUAAAAAUAUAACGAGUGUCAACUUAAUAACUUAAAGUGACUUAAAAACUUAAUUUAAGACAUUCAGUAAAUUAAGUAUAUUUGAUAAAAUAAUUUAAUGGUAUGAUUUAAAGUCAAAAAUAAUUUUAAAUAAUAAGUAAAAAUAAUUAAUUUAUUCUUAAAUCCAUAUAUUCAUUUUUAUCUUUUUAUCCUCAUUUAUCAUAAUUACCUCCACAAUCUUUUCUGCUAUUCCACGACUUUUAUUGUUACUCGAUCUCAUUUAUUCUAAUUAUGAUUUAUGAGGAUAAAUAUGUUAAUUUAAUGAUUUAAAAUUAAUUUUAUUAAAUGACCUUAAAAUUUAAAAGUAAAAAUUAACUAAUAAAUUUUAAAUCAAUAACUUAAAUAUAAUUCAACUUAAAGUCAACUUAAAUUAUUAAAUAAUAAAUAUUAAAUUUACUAAACAUCCUCUAUAUUUAUAACUUUUUCUUUCGUGUAUAGGUAUAUAAUUUUUUUUCUUCUAUAGCGAGGAAGAAACAUUAUAUUUUAUAUUGAUUGGAAAAUGAUAUUUUGAAUUGAUGACUCGUAAUUAAUUUGUACACAAUUAAUUCUACGAUGAUGAUAACAUCCAUUUGACUCUAAUUCUUACAUAUCCAAAAGUAGGGUAAUGUGAUAAUAUAAAUAUAUUGAAUUGAUAGACUCGUAAUCAAAUUGUACUCAACAUGCUAACAUCCAUUUGACUUCUCCAUCCUCAUUCAAAGAUAGCCAAAGCUGAGUGACGUGACGUGAUGGAAACUUAAAUGCUAUGUUUGGUAUUGAAAAAACGAAAUAUAAUAUAAAAAGAAAUUAAUAAAAAAUUUAUAUAUUUUUAAGAAUUAAAAUAUUAUAUUUUUUAAAGACUAUUUUCAAACUCAUAAUACUUUUUUAGGCACUCUCUUUUAAAAAAUUCAAAUCCAAUUUUAAAAUUUAUAAAUUAUUUUUUCAAACGAUAACUUUUUUUAAUUAAAUUUUGUCCGUAAAUUUAAAAAAAUUUCUUGAAUCGUGGUAUUUUAAAAUAGAUUUUUUAAAAAUUAUUAUAUUUUUCUUUUAAUCUCUUGCUUUUUCUUUUAUUCUUUUUUUUCUUUUCCUUAUAUUUUGAUAAUCACUCGUGUGCAAAGAAUAGAAGCUUGGCUUUAAUUUGAUUAGGAUUUUGGUGAAUGCUAGCACAUGGGGAUAUCACUAGACCCCACCAAUCAUGAGUAUGGCAACCAUUGAUCCUACUUAAUUUGCAACUAACCAUUUGAUCUGGUGGACAGGUGAACUAAUCAGAAGGUUGGAUUAUUUUACAAGGAAUCAAAUCAAAGCUAUGAAUUGUAGGGUCAUGAUUCACUUAUUCCAUACACACCAUCUUAUAAUCAUAACAAACAACAAUUUAAAGGAUAAACUGAGAAGUAGAGCUAGCUAUUUCUCCAAGGAGAACUAAUGGAUAAAUGUAGAACACCCUGAUGGCAUACAGAACAGCUGAUUAUGGAGGUGGGCCUCCAGGUCCACCUGGGCCUCCAGGACCACCAAAGCAAUCCUGUAGCAACCAGCAACAGCACAAGAAGUUCAGGCUGCAACCAAAAUCAAGACCAAAAUUAAACUCUGAAAAAGAAAAAUUAAAAGUAAAUAAAUAAAUCUUCAAAUCGCAUUUCCAAACAGCCUCCUAAUGAAAAAGUUGGUCUCCAUCAACCCCACAUUGGUUAGAUUUUACCUUUUAGCAACUAAACGAGAAUUCAAAGAACAAAUGAUUUAAAAUUGGAUCAGUUUUCUGCAUGAAAGAACUUACCAUGAAGAAAUAGCAUCGCAGAAACCGCCAAAGAAACCACCCGGGCCAGGGCCACCGGGGCCAGGACCCCACCCUCCAGGCCCUCCAGGUCCUCCAGGUCCUCCAGGCCCUCCAGGUCCCAUUACUAGCCUCUCUACACCCACAAACCUACGCCAGCGCCGGACUGUGAUAUAAGCUCACAACCUCUGUUGGAAGCUCUGUGGUCGGAUGGCAAUGAGGGAAAG